rnacentral:rRNA from 1 species
UACGUAGGGCGCAAGCGUUGUCCGGAAUUAUUGGGCGUAAAGAGCUCGUAGGCGGCCUGUUGCGUCCGCUGUGAAAUCCCGGGGCUCAACCCCGGGCCUGCAGUGGAUACGGGCUGGCUAGAGGCAGGCAGGGGAGAACGGAAUUCCUGGUGUAGCGGUGAAAUGCGCAGAUAUCAGGAGGAACACCGGUGGCGAAGGCGGUUCUCUGGGCCUGUACUGACGCUAAGGCGCGAAAGCGUGGGGAGCGAACAGG